rnacentral:tRNA from 1 species
GCGGGCAUAGCUCAGUGGUAGAGCGAUUCCUUGCCAAGGAAUAGGUCGCCAGUUCGAAUCUGGUUGCCCGCUCCA